CAAAAUAAUCUUUUACAUCACAUUUAGUUUUAAUUUUGGUUUUUAUUUUUUAUCUUUACUCCAUUUGUACAAUAUGUUUUCCAGCAACGCCCUCUGACGUCAUCAACCCUCGCUGUCUGUGCAUAUCUUAUGAAGCGAUGUUGAUGCAGUAGCUUACAAACAAAUCGACUUCACAAAUAAUGGUAAGACUAAGAUACCUCAUUCAAACAUCCAUCAGGGCUCUUAUUUCUUCUCAAAAUAACAAUUCCUUCCACUACUCAACCAUAGUCGCAUCUGCUGCUGGCAAUGCCGUCCCUGUAAACCCAUCAUUUUCGUCAAAUCUGUCACCAGCGAAGAAGUUACAUGUGGAGGAUGUGGUGGUGUCAUUCCAAGAAUGGUUUAAAGUUAGCCGGAAACCGCUUUUUGACCAGAUAAUUCGAAUUUUAUCUUCUUCUGGCAGCAUAAGCGGCGUUGGUGAAAAUAAAGAUUUUAUGGCACAACGUGAAACCAUUGAUGAUGAAUUGUCACGGUUAAAUCUCAUUCUCAAUGAAGCAUUUGUACUUGAUGUGUUGUACUACAUGAAAGAUGUGUUGGCUUGCUUAAAGUUCUUUGAUUGGGCUGGCCGGCAACCCGGGUUUCAGCAUACACGAGCUACGUUUAAUACAAUUUUCAAGAUUCUUUCUAAGGCAAAGUUAAUGUCUUUGAUGCUGGAUUAUUUGGAUGACUAUGCUAAGCAUCGAGGGAGUCAUAAAACUAAUUUUCAUAGCAUGUUGGUUAUGGGUUAUGCCGUGGCAGGAAAACCCGAAAUUGCCCUCCAGUUGUAUGGCCGGAUGCAUUACCAGGGUAUUGAUUUAGACAGUUUUGCUUACCAUGUGCUUUUAAACGGUCUUGUAGAAGGAAGUUAUUUUGAUGGAGUUGAGUCUGUAGCAAAACAGAUUAAAAAUCGCGGCUUUGAAUCAGAGGUCACUCAUUCUAUAUUGGUUAAGGGUUUUUGCAGGAAAAAAGAGUUUGAGAGAGCCGAAACGUAUGUUCGUGGGGUUAUAAAUGAUGGGACUAAAGUAAAGAAUGGAGGGUACAUAGUUGGUGCUCUUGUAGAUGGGUUAUGUAAAAAUGAUCAAUUCGAUAAGGCUGGGAAAUUAGUAGAUGAAUAUAGGGAUUUUAAAGUUUAUGAUAUAUGGAUUCGAGAGCUUGUACGGAUCCGGAAGUUAGAUGGGGCUCUGGAAUUUUUACAAAAGACAAGAAACACUGAUCAUUAUGUUCCAAAUGUUUUUCGUUACAACACGUUAAUAUUAAGGCUUUUGAGAGAAAUCCGACUUGAAGAAGUGUGUGAUUUGAUAAUUGAGAUGAAGGAAAGCAAUAUAUCCCCAGAUGAACUUACGAUGAAUAUCAUUUUAUGCUUCUUUUGCAAGGCAGGAAUGGUUGAUGUUGCUCUUAGAUUAUAUGAUUCACGAGGGGAGAUUGGGUUAUCAUUAAGUAGCAUGUCGUUUAAUUAUCUAAUGAAUACCCUUUGUGGGGAGGGAAGUGUUUCUGAUGCGUAUCGCAUUUUAAAGAAUGUACUUGAGCAAGGGUAUUUCCCUAGUGUUACAACGAUUUCUAUCAUUGCAGAUGCUUUUUGUAAGCUUGAAAAGCUUGACAUGAUGACCGACUUGUUUCGUGUAGCCUUAGAGAAUAAUGUUGUAUUGAAUGAUAAAGUUUAUGAAAGUUACAUUAAGACCUUUUGUAAGACUGGUAGAGUGGAAGAAGGUUAUUUUAUACACCGUGAGCUUAAUCAAUGCAAUAAAGUUACAUCCAGGUUUGCAUAUUACAGUUUGAUAAAAGGGUUUAUAAAGUCGAGUAGAGGAGACAUUGCUGCAAGAUUACUGAUCGAAAUGCAAGAAAAAGGCCACAGCACACCCCGUUCAUUGUUAAGGUCAGUUAUUCAAAGUGUAUGUGAGAUGGAGAAUCCCGAGAAGCAAUUUCAAAAGCUAUUGGAAAUGCAGUUAUGUCUUCAUGAACUUGAUUGUGGGAUUUUCAACAUCUUCAUAGAAGGAGCUGGCCUUGCUAAAAAAUCUGAUCUUGCAAGAGAAGUAUAUAUGAUCAUGAGUAGAAGUGGGAUUUCUCCUAAUGUGAGUUCCGACAUUCUGCUGUUGAAAAGUUAUCUAAAUAGUGGAAAAGUUUCCGAUGCUAUACACUUUUUCAAUGAUAUCUUGAAAAGAGAUAUCGGGAGAAAAGUCUGCAAUACCUUAGUUAUCGGUCUUUGCAAAGCAAAUAAACCAGAAUUGGCAUUGGAAAUCUUUUCAGAAAUUAGAGAAAUAGCACAAACGGUCAGACCGAGUCUCGAAUGUUACGAAGAACUUAUUUAUGCUCUAUGCAAACGUAAACAAUAUAAAAAGAUCAUGGAUUUAGUUAAGGACUUGAUUACAGUCAGGCGGCCAGUUUCAUCCUUUAUUGGUAACAAUUUGCUUCUUACUUCUUUAACUGACCGGGAGCUAUAUGACACAUGGGUUGACUCUGGGACUGUUAGCGAGUCAUCUCCUAUUUGGAAAAUUCAUGAGAUUGUUGGUUUGUUCUCUGACCGUUUUAAAGAUGACAUAAAUCCAGAUGACUUGGAAGAAGUAGUGGGGAAUUGUUUUCCGAUGGAUAUAUACACUUAUAAUAUGCUUAUAAGGAAAUUAAGUGUUAAUCAAGUAGAUGAUGCUUGCAAGUUGUUUCAGAAGUUACGUCAGAAGGGGUAUGAGCCGAAUCAGUGGACAUUUGAAACUUUGGUGCAUGGAUUUUACAGACAGGGUAGGAAAAAGGAUGCCAAGAUGUGGGUGCAGAAGAUGUUAGGAAGAGGGUUUCAUCCAAGUGCGGCUACAAAAGUAUUACUUUAAAGUUGGUUAUGAAGUUUCAUACGUGAAGAAACCAAGGCACAUAAAAUAUGGGCGAUUAUGAUAAGAAUUUUCUCAUGUUAAGGAUGGACCUGGCAAACUUUGAUAAGGGUGUGACAGUACCCAUGACCUAGAGCCUCUUUCUGGUCCAGCCAGUGUAUACGUUCUCACAACAGCUAUUAUCACAUUGCUUUGAGAAUAUUUUAGACGAGCCUUCAUACGUGAAACCAUAUUUGACCAGACAUAGGCCCAUGUUUGUUAUAAAGGUAUGCAGUCCAUUUUUUGGUCUCAGUUUCCUUUCCUUUUUAACUUUUUAUUGCUUGUCAAGAGUAUGGAACUUACUCUUCUUUGCUGCAUCUCAUGAAUUGAUUCCACAUAUUGAACACUGCUAAGGCUUAUUUUUGGCAUUUUGGCUGCUGAUCGUUGCAACAGUGUGUUUGUCUCUACUAACCUUCAUUCAUAUCUGAUAAUGGAUGGUGUAAUGUAGAUAGCAGAUACUUUCACUACCGCUUGAAGAAUAUAUUGGUUAGUAAUGUAGGGAAACAAUCAAGAAUGAGAUGGGAUACGCUUUGCACCUCAGGUGCGUCGCUUCCGGCUCGUUAGGUUCUAGUUAGCACCUUUUGUCUUAAUGAAGAAGCUGGCAUUUGACUUUUGAGUUUGUAUUGAAUUACUUUUUAUUUUAAGAAGAAUAACCGAGUUAUGAAGGCAAUAGAACAUUGGAACCUACCAGAGUCGCUGCUGUGUACUUUGUACUUUGUAAUGUAUUGAUUUCUAGUUGCUUCAAUAUUGUAUGUUCUUUGCUUCUUGUAGCGUCUAGAUGGGUUUACGAGGGUGGCAUGUUGCCUUAUGUUUUGCA